rnacentral:rRNA from 1 species
GACGAACGCUGGCGGCGUGCCUAAUACAUGCAAGUAGAACGCACAGUUUAUACCGUAGCUUGCUACACCAUAGACUGUGAGUUGCGAACGGGUGAGUAACGCGUAGGUAACCUGCCUGGUAGCGGGGGAUAACUAUUGGAAACGAUAGCUAAUACCGCAUAAUAUUGAUUAUUGCAUGAUAAUUAAUUGAAAGGUGCAAUUGCACCACUACCAGAUGGACCUGCGUUGUAUUAGCUAGUAGGUGAGGUAACGGCUCACCUAGGCGACGAUACAUAGCCGACCUGAGAGGGUGAUCGGCCACACUGGGACUGAGACACGGCCCAGACUCCUACGGGAGGCAGCAGUAGGGAAUCUUCGGCAAUGGACGAAAGUCUGACCGAGCAACGCCGCGUGAGUGAAGAAGGGUUUCGGAUCGUAAAGCUCUGUUGUAAGAGAAGAACGGGUGUGAGAGUGGAAAGUUCACACUGUGACGGUAGCUUAACAGAAAGGGACGGCUAACUACGUG